UGAUGUGAUCGCUCAUUUGGUAGAGCAUGAGACUCAUAAUCUCAUGGUCAUGGGUUCGAGAGCCCUGUUGCUCAA